rnacentral:lncRNA from 1 species
GGGGAGGCUGUUGAGCGAGGGUGAUUGAUUCGGUUAGAUUGUGAUGUGUUAUUUAGGCAGAAGACAGGGGAGCUAGGAGAAUGGAGGAAAACAGAAAGCGAAAGCAGAAAAAAUAGUAGAAGAGAAGAGCCCUUUUUCACCACGUAGACGUGGGCUCUGGUUGUUCUAGAUUGGGGUUCACUUGCCCAUGACCGGGAGAGAGGGCAGGGACCUUGGUCAAUCAGCAGCCCCCAAGAGACCUGGAAGACAAGGAGCGCGCGAGUGGUGGUAUCAUUCUGGGAGGCUCCGAUGCAAGAAACUCUGUCUGUGGACACUGCUGUCCUGAAAGGGUUAAUGCACUUAAUUAAGAGGGUGGUGCUGCAGAUUCAAAUGAGGAGAAAUCAACUAUGCUGAACAAGAAGCUGGACUAGAGGGCCAAAGGCCUGGGCCGGGAAAGCAAGCCCCUGGUACAGGCAACACCUGCAGAGCGGAAGGGAGUGGGAGUGAGGAGGGAAUCGAGUGCUUCCGGCAGUGCUGGCUAAAUGGUGGAAGGCGCAAUGGAGCUUCUUCCUCUUACCCUCAGCAAGAACUUCAGGAACUGCUCCAGCUGAGAUCGGGAGUGGAAACAGAAAGACAGAGAGGAAGGGAAGGAGGGAGAUGGAGCAUAACUGUGCUAAUAAAAAGGGAGCCCUGAAAAGAAAAGGACAACUAGAAAAGGGAGGUGGAGGUGGAAGCAAGCUGCCACCGGAGUCAUUAACUGGUUGGAUGUUCUCUCUGCAAUCCUCUGCUUCAGGACUCAAAACUUCCUCCUCAUUCCCAUCCUGUCACUUGCAGCAGAAACUAUUGCCUUGGGACUUGCCAGAGACCUGAAGAUUCCUGAACUCAAGGUGGGGCAUUGCCUUUGAGGAACUGAAGCCACGUAACUGAAUAGGCUAGUCUUGGUUUUCAGAAUGUGAGCCAUAGAACCAGGAUAAUGCAUUAGUCAUGGUCCAUUGAGCUAAUACAAAAGUACUCAAGUAUAUUCCAAAAUAUAUUUUUCUAUAUCUGAAGAUAAUUUGAGUCUGUAGACACCCAUUAAACCUAUAAAGUAUGCACCCACUGCCAAUGCGAUUGACCUAUCGGAAAGAUGUGUACUUGGGAGCGUAGGCAUGCAUCUUUGCAAGUGUGGAGGUGUGUUGGUUAUCAUGAGUGAGAACUGGUGAGUGGGAUUCAGAGCCUGAGUCCUACCUGAGUAACUGGGAGACUGUGGUACUGUGCCUCCAAGGUGGCAUCCAUCAAUGCUUCCUUCCCUGUGUGCACAUCCAGAGAUGAGAUUGACGCCUCCUCUCCCCUUAGACAUGGCUGGACUUACCAACAUGCUUGGUAAGUCCAGAAUGCAGCUGUGUGACUUUGGGGAUUUGGAGGCUCGGUCACAGAAGUCGCAGCUUCCCCACGUGCCUCUUCGUCUGCUUGCUUUUGAACAUUUCCUCAUGGGCACCAGCCUUGAGGGCCAUGCUGUGAGAAGCUGAAGCCGCUGGAGAGGUCCCUGUAGAAGUGCAGAGACAGAGAGGAGCAGAGGACCCAGGAGGCACCGGAAGCAGGUGUGAGGAACCAUCUUGUAAGUGGAUCCUGCCCCACAUGACACUGUGAGAUUCAGAGAUGAAUGGCCCAGCCAAUUUCUUCCCAAAUUCCUAAACCAUACAAUUGUGAGCUAAAUAAAACUGUUGUUUUAAGUCACUA